rnacentral:lncRNA from 1 species
UUCUUUAAUUUUAAAAUUCAUCGAAACUGAAUGGGAAUGCUGCCAAUGCUAACAUGGCAGAAUGCCAGAAUCAGGAUAAGAACCUGUGUUGAGAGAAUAUGCUGUUCUUUCCUCCGUCCCGUUCAUAGACGCAGUUAAUUGUUGCUAUUUAUUGCAUUUUGUUUGUUUCCAAAAUGAUUUCUUCCUGUUUGUCUACAAUCCAGGCUAACG